GACGAACGCUGGCGGCGUGCUUAACACAUGCAAGUCGAACGGAAAGGCCCUGCUUUUGUGGGAUGCUCGAGUGGCGAACGGGUGAGUAACACGUGAGUAACCUGCCCUUGACUUUGGGAUAACUUCAGGAAACUGGGGCUAAUACCGGAUAGGAGCUCCUGCUGCAUGGUGGGGGUUGGAAAGUUUCGGCGGUUGGGGAUGGACUCGCGGCUUAUCAGCUUGUUGGUGGGGUAGUGGCUUACCAAGGCUUUGACGGGUAGCCGGCCUGAGAGGGUGACCGGCCACAUUGGGACUGAGAUACCGCCCAGACUCCUACGGGAGGCAGCAGUGGGGAAUAUUGUACAAUGGGCGGAAGCCUGAUGCAGCAACGCCGCGUGCGGGAUGACGGCCUUCGGGUUGUAAACCGCUUUCGCCUGUGACGAAGCGUGAGUGACGGUAAUGGGUAAAGAAGCACCGGCUAACUACGUG
rnacentral:rRNA from 1 species